AUUGAACGCUGGCGGCAGGCCUAACACAUGCAAGUCGAACGAGUGGCGGACGGGAGAGUAAUGUCUGGGAACCUGCCUGAUGGAGGGGGAUCACUACUGGAAACGGUAGAUAAUCCCGCAUACCAUCAGAUGUGCCCAUAUGGGAUUAUCUAGUUGGUGGGGUAACGGCUCACCACGGCGACGAUCCGUAGCUGGUCUGAGAGGAUGACCAGCCACACGUGAACUGAGCCACGGUCCAGACUCAUACGCGAGGAAGCAGUGGGGAAGAGUGCACAAUGGGCGCAAGCCUGAUGCAGCCAUGCCGCGUGUAUGAAGAAGGCCUUCGGGUUGUAAAGUACUUUCAGCGGGGAGGCGUUACCCGCAGAAGAAGCACCGGCUAACUCCGUGCCAGCAGCCGCGGUAAUAC
rnacentral:rRNA from 1 species